rnacentral:rRNA from 1 species
UGGUGGAAGGAAAAAAACGUAACAAGGUUUCCGUAGGUGAACCUGCGGAAGGAUCAUUAUUGAAUAUUCUUGAUGGGUUGUAGCUGGCUCUCCGGAGCAUGUGCACACUUGUCUUGACUUUAUUCAUCCACCUGUGCACCUUUUGUAGUCUUGGGGGUUGAGAGCAGUCGACUAUCGGAUGGCUAUGGCCUUUCCGGACGUGGGGAAUGCUGAGUGCGAAAGCAUACAGCUCUUCUCAAAUGACUUGCAAAACCUCUCCCUCGAGUACUAUGUAUUCAUAUACCACAUAGUAUGUUGUAGAAUGUGAUCAAUGGGAUAAUCAUAUACAACUUUCAGCAACGGAUCUCUUGGCUCUCGCAUCGAUGAAGAACGCAGCGAAAUGCGAUAAGUAAUGUGAAUUGCAGAAUUCAGUGAAUCAUCGAAUCUUUGAACGCACCUUGCGCUCCUUGGUAUUCCGAGGAGCAUGCCUGUUUGAGUGUCAUUAAAUUCUCAACCCCUCCAGCUUUUGCGAGUUGUGAUGGGGCUUGGAUAUGGGAGUUUGCGGGUCUUUAUCAAUAAAGGUCAGCUCUCCUGAAAUGCAUUAGCGGAACCGUUUGCAGUCCCGUCACUAGUGUGAUAAUUAUCUACACUGUGAUGAUUGCUCUCUGACUAGUUCAGCUGCUAAUCGUCCACUAUGGACAACACUUAAUGAAAUUCUUGACCUCAAAUCAGGUAGGACUACCCGCUGAACUUAAGCAUAUCAUAGGGGCGGGAGGG